ACAGAAGACUCUGUCACCCAGGCAAUGGCGUGGUCUCGGCUCACAGCAACCUCUGCUUCCCGGUUCCAGCUUUUCUUCUGCCUCAGUCUCCCGAGUAGCUGGGAUUACAGGUGCCUGCUACCAUGCCCAGACAGAGUCUCACUCUGUUGCCAGGCUGGAGUGCAGUGGCAGGAUCUUGGCUUACUCCAAACUCCACCUUCCAGGUUCAAGCGAUUCUCCUGCCUCAGCCUCCCAAGUAGCUGGGACUAACAGGUGCGUGCCACCAUGCCCAGCUAAUUUUUGUAAUUUUAGUAGAGACAGGAUCUCACCAUAUUGUCCAGGAUUGUCUUGAUUUCUUGACCUCGUGAUCUGCCUGCCUCAGCCUCCCAAAGUGCUGGGAUUACAGGUGUGAGCCACUGGGCCCAGCCGAGCUCUCCCCAUCUUGAACCACUUACUGAUUAAUGUUAGCCUUUAAAAGUCUUUCUGGGCUGGGUGCAGUGGCUCACGCCUGUAAUCCUAGCACUUUAGGAGGCCGAGGAGGGUGGAUUACCUGAGCUUAGGAGUUCAAGACCAGCCUGGGCAACAUGUCUCUAGAUAGAAACCCUGUCUCUAUCCCAUUACUGGGUAUAUAUCCAAAGGAUUAUAAAUCGUUCUAUUAUAAAGACAGAUGCACACGUAUGUUCAUUGAGGCACUGUUUACAAUAGCAAAGACCUGAAACCAACCCAAAUGCCCAUCGAUGAUAGACUGGGCAAGGAAAAUGUGGUGCAUAUACACCAUGGAAUACUAUACAGCCAUAAAAAAUGAUGAGUUUGUGUCCUUUAUAGGGACAUGGAUGAAUCUGGACACUAUCAUUCUCAGCAAACUGACACAGAACAGAAAAUCAAACACCACAUGUUCUUACUCAUAGGUGAGUGUUGAACAAUGAGAACACAUGGACACAGGGAGGGGAGCAUCACACACUGGGGUCUUUGUGGGGAAAUAGGGAAGGAACAGCAGUGGGUAGGGAGGUUGGGGAGGGAUAACUUGGGGAGAAAUGCCAGAUAUAGGUAAUGGGGAGAUGGAGGCAGCAAAUCACAUUGUCAUGUAGGUACAAUCCUGCAUGAUCUGCACAUGUACCCCAGAACCUAAAGUAUAAUUUAAAAAAAAAUAUAUAUAUAUAUAUACACACACACACACACACACACAAUUAGCUGGGUGUAGUGGCAUGUACUUGUAACACCAGCUGCUCAGGAGACUGAGGCACUGAGGCAUGAGAAUUGCUUGCACUCAGGAGGCUGAGGUUCAGUGAGCCAAGAUUGUGCCACUGCACUCCAUCCUGAGCAACAGAGUAAGACUGUGUCUCGAAAGAAAAAAAAAGUAAAGCCGAGACUCUUAUGGAAAUAGCUUCAGGAUACAGGAGUCUUAAUGUGUCUGAAGAGUGGGGAAGAUUCAAGCAAGCAUAACUUCAUUUAGCCACAUUCUUUCUGAGAGCCUACGUCUGUUCUGUACCUGGAGAUCAAAGUGUUAUGAGCCUGUCAACAAAUAACCCUCAUUUUUUUCUUUCAUAGUAAGAACUCUGCAGCUCUGUUUAAUUCUAAAGCCAAUGUUCUUGGCAACUUGGUAAUAGAGACGUAACCACAGAAAAUAAAG
rnacentral:lncRNA from 1 species